UAUAAAAUACACACAGCAUGUAAUGCUAACUACUACUUUCUGAGCGUAUAAUGCAAAAAAUAUACUUUCAGCAGUUGCAUAGAAAAGCUUCAGUGCAGCGGAGUUAAAGAACCUGGAUUUCAUAAUGUAAUUGAAAAUGACUCAAUUUUAUCCCAGUCAGAGGAUGGGAUAGUAUAUUUGUCUAAGCUGAACGUGUUCAAGACAGUUGACAGGUAUUGCAGAUAAGGAUGAGUCUAACAAACUAAGUGUAGGUCCUGUCAUCCAAAUAACCAUAAAGCUGUCAAUGGAAACUUUGCUUACUGUGCUUCCUGAUAGGAUUGUUUAUGGUUGACCACAUGGUCCAUUUAGUUCAUUACUAUGUCUUGUGCUUGCUUCAUCAGAAGAGCUUGAGAUCAGGGACUAAAGAACACUUGUGCUUUGCGAGAGGAUAUGCCAUUAAACUUCUUCAAGGCUGACAAGUAAUUUCUAUUAUGGCUGCAUUUAAAUGUUUGUGAAAACUAUUCCCAUUUUCUUAUCAACAAAGCAUCAUCAUCAGCACAUCUCGAGGAUGAAAAUACAUUUGGAAGCAGCCACCACAAGAGCAAUGCAACUGAAAUGUUCUCCUGAGGACAAUAAGCAAGCUCUUUAAAGCACCGACAUGUCCAGACUUUUAAUGAACCAUCUCUUCAGACUUACUGAGCAUGCACCAACUGCCACAGCUCUGGAAAGGGAAAGGACUGGAAAUAUGCCAUCCUGGAGGGCAACAGGGGCUUCACAGUGCUUUGAACUGGAAGGAGAGGUGCAGAGAAAGGGCCCUUGGUUAGAACUGGGAACUGUAUUCUUGAUAAUUCCCUGCUGAUACAGUGAGAAAAUAGAUUGAAGGUAAUUGAAGGUAAUAAGGUAGGAUCUGUGUGUGAGGGACAUAAGCCUAAAAAAGCAACGGCUAGUGUGACCUUGGUCUUGGAGCAUUAGUUUUACAGCUGAACAGCAGAAAAAGGACAUGAAGCAGUUCCUGCUGGAGAUAUAAAGCUUCUGUAGAUAGUUAGAUUUCAUGCCAUUUGCUGACACAAGAGGAGCGGUGGGAUAAGAGGACCUUUUGUGAUGUGUAGACAUAGCUUGAGACUUUUCA